rnacentral:rRNA from 1 species
AGUAAUGCUUGGGAAUCUAGCUUAUGGAGGGGGAUAACUACGGGAAACUGUAGCUAAUACCGCGUAGAAUCGGAAGAUGAAAGUGCGGGACCGCAAGGCCGCAUGCCAUGAGAUGAGCCCAAGUGGGAUUAGGUAGUUGGUGGGGUAAAGGCCUACCAAGCCUGCGAUCUCUAGCUGGUCUGAGAGGAUGGCCAGCCACACUGGAACUGAGACACGGUCCAG